UACGGGAGGCAGCAGUGGGGAAUAUUGCACAAUGGGCGCAAGCCUGAUGCAGCCAUGCCGCGUGUAUGAAGAAGGCCUUCGGGUUGUAAAGUACUUUCAGUCGUGAGGAAGGUGUUAAGGUUAAUAACCUUAGCAAUUGACGUUAGCGACAGAAGAAGCACCGGCUAACUCCGUGCCAGCAGCCGCGGUAAUACGGAGGGUGCGAGCGUUAAUCGGAAUUACUGGGCGUAAAGGGCACGCAGGCGGUUAAUUAAGUUGGAUGUGAAAUCCCCGGGCUUAACCUGGGAAUGGCAUUCAAGACUGGUUAGCUAGAGUCUUGUAGAGGGGGUAGAAUUCCAUGUGCAGCGGUGAAAUGCGUAGAGAUGUGGAGGAAUACCGGUGGCGAAGGCGGCCCCUGGGACAAGACUGACGCUCAUGUGCGAAAGCGUGGGGAGCGAAACAGGGAUUAGAUACC
rnacentral:rRNA from 1 species